UCUCCUUGUCUCCAACCUGUGAAACAACUUCCUCUUCUUCCACACCAAGUCCACUAUGGAUGAUCGCCGAGAUCCAAUCCCUCCCUCUCACAUUCGCCUUUCUCUCUCUCUUUCUUUCUCAAAUCUUGAGGCCAAUCAAGAAAAAGAUUGUACUGUCUUCAUCUUCCUCCUUCCCAUCAAGAAAAAGAUUAUUCGCUCAAAGAAUCUACAGUCGCAACCUUCAAUCUGCUACCUCCUCAAUUUCAUCCUGGUUUGUCUUGGUUGGUAGCCUAGAGAGGAUUUGUUUCUUCAGCAAAAAUGGUAACUAAAAUGGUGGAUCUGCCGGUCACUAAACCUAGUGGGUGAAACAAUGCAGGCCGCAAUGGCAGCUGCCGAAGUUCAUGAUGAUGUCAAAAGCCUAGAAGGCUCAGGAAAACCUUAGGAGGUGGAAUGAGACAGGUUGGUAUCCUUUGUGCUGCUGCUUUGGUCGCUUUACAUGAGAAUGUUGCAAACCUCGACACCGAUCACAAGAGAGCUAAGAUUUUAGCAGGUGUAUCCUCAGUCUACUUGAUUUUGUAUACCAAACUCUUGUUUGGAGAACAGCCAUCGCCUUCUCUUCUCAAGCUCUAUUCAUGGAUUUUCUUAUAUUUCCUUUUGAUAAAUUCAGAGGGACUAAAUCAAAUCAAAGAAAUCGUUGAGACCAACAUUGUGAGUAUCAUCUGCUCAAAUUUAGUCUAGCCGGCCCUGAAUUUAUUUCUACCAUUUACUUUUAUCGUUCUUUCAGCGAGCUCUGACUGGAGGCCAUGAUGAAAAUGGAAACUAUCAACACAAGUUCCACCCUUCUCUCUGUGUCUCCAACAUGAUUUCAUCUACCUUUGAACAUGCAAUUAUUCAAUCUUUGCCAAACUUGUAAACUUCUGUGCUAGUUUCAUUUGUAAGAUUUUAUGGUGGCAGAAUUUAAUGUGUUUUAUUUUAUUUUUUCAUGUAUAUAACAUGACAAUCAAAGACUUUCACCCAUCCUGCUUAUCAAUAUUUGACUUUCUCUAUUAAAA